rnacentral:rRNA from 1 species
GAAGUCAUUGAUGCCAUGCUUCCAGGAAAAGCCUCUAAGCUUCAGAUUGUAAGGAAUCGUACCCCAAACCGACACAGGUGGUCGGGUAGAGAAUACCAAGGCGCUUGAGAGAACUCGGGUGAAGGAACUAGGCAAAAUGGUACCGUAACUUCGGGAGAAGGUACGCUCUCGACGGUGAAGUCCCUCGCGGAUGGAGCUAUUGAGAGUCGCAGAUACCAGGUGGCUGCAACUGUUUAUUAAAAACACAGCACUGUGCAAAAUCGUAAGAUGACGUAUACGGUGUGACGCCUGCCCGGUGCCGGAAGGUUAAUUGAUGGGGUUAGACUUCGGUCGAAGCUCUUGAUCGAAGCCCCGGUAAACGGCGGCCGUAACUAUAACGGUCCUAAGGUAGCGAAAUUCCUUGUCGGGUAAGUUCCGACCUGCACGAAUGGCGUAAUGAUGGCCACGCUGUCUCCACCCGAGACUCAGUGAAAUUGAAAUCGCUGUGAAGAUGCAGUGUACCCGCGGCUAGACGGAAAGACCCCGUGAACCUUUACUACAGCUUGGCACUGAACAUUGACCCUACAUGUGUAGGAUAGGUGGGAGGCUUUGAAGCACGUACGCCAGUAUGUGUGGAGCCGUCCUUGAAAUACCACCCUUGUAGUGUUGAUGUUCUAACGUUGACCCCUAAUCGGGGUUGCGGACAGUGCCUGGUGGGUAGUUUGACUGGGGCGGUCUCCUCCCAAAGAGUAACGGAGGAGCACGAAGGUGGGCUAAUCACGGUUGGACAUCGUGAGGUUAGUGCAAUGGCAUAAGCCCGCUUGACUGCGAGAAUGACAAUUCGAGCAGGUGCGAAAGCAGGUCAUAGUGAUCCGGUGGUUCUGAAUGGAAGGGCCAUCGCUCAACGGAUAAAAGGUACUCCGGGGAUAACAGGCUGAUACCGCCCAAGAGUUCAUAUCGACGGCGGUGUUUGGCACCUCGAUGUCGGCUCAUCACAUCCUGGGGCUGAAGUCGGUCCCAAGGGUAUGGCUGUUCGCCAUUUAAAGUGGUACGCGAGCUGGGUUUAGAACGUCGUGAGACAGUUCGGUCCCUAUCUGCCGUGGGCGUUGGAAGAUUGAAGGGGGCUGCUCCUAGUACGAGAGGACCGGAGUGGACGAACCUCUGGUGUUCGGGUUGUGUCGCCAGACGCAUUGCCCGGUAGCUAAGUUCGGAAUCGAUAACCGCUGAAAGCAUCUAAGCGGGAAGCGAGCCCUGAGAUGAGUCUUCCCUGAUACUUUAAGUAUCCUAAAGGGUUGUCGGAGACUACGACGUUGAUAGGUCAGGUGUGUAAGUGCUGUGAGGCAUUGAGCUAACUGAUACUAAUUGCCCGUGAGGCUUAACCAUACAACACCCAAGGGGUUU